rfam:Treponema denticola ATCC 35405, complete genome.
GUUUAUCUGCCGAGUUUUGCACUUAUGAGUACAAAACUUCGCAUUAUUAUAUGUGUGUGCUUUUCGGCACACACUUGAAAAAACUUUUUUCACAAAUUGAUUCGCUAUCCGCUUUAGCGGAUACGAUGAAAAAUUUCCUUACAGAACAGAGCCGAAAGGCUCUGAUAUUUGCUGCAAAAAGUUUUUAUAGGA